GGAUUCACUAUAUGCUCUUGUAUUACAAUUGGCACUGAGUGUGCGACAUUAUCGAGUUAAUCCCGGACAGCGAAUCGGGUCUCGUGGACUCGUAUUGUUGCGUGCUCGGAACCGUCGUUGAAGUCAUCACACCGGCUGAAAUAUUUUGGUAUUGUCUUCGUUGUUGAAGAACAAUUGGCAUGUAUAGGCUAUUAUAUUUUGUUGAACUGUGGGUUGUAAACUUUAAGCCAUGUGAAAAUGGCCUAUGUGGUCGUCGAGUGGGAUGCUAGAACCUAUAGCCACGAGUCUUAGAAACUUUAAUUUUGAUAAGGUGGCCAUAAUUUGUGUCAUGUUUGAUGGAUGAUUAAGGCCAAGGAAAGAUUCAUGAAAUUGGCAUAGUCUACUGCAGUAACUGUUGCAGACAGCAGCAGUGAGGUGAGAUUGAAAAAUCACUAAAAAUAGUAGAAGUAGAAUUAAAUAGUGAAUAAAUUAUGCAAUUGAACCCUGAUGAAUCUAGUUUAAUAUGGAUGGAACGAAA